rnacentral:misc_RNA from 1 species
UCUGCGAGUUCGCGGGAGAGUAGGUUAUUGCCAGGGUUUUUAUUUUUAUAUUUUAAAUAAAGAUUUUAUUUUAUGUUUUUUAAAUGUUUGUUAGUUUUUUUGAAUGUGUUAUUUAAAUAACAUAAAAAAUAAAAUAUAUAUUGACAUGGAUUAAACAAAGAUAUAUAUUAUUUUAUGUUGCGUAAACAAAUUGGCAAAAUAGAGAUGGAAGAUAAAAAUAUGGUCAAAGUAAUAACAGUCUAUGGUGAAUGCCAAGGAA